GCUCUCUCGGUCCCCCACUCUAGCUCAGACUGAUGAGGAGAGUCCGGAAAGAGAGCAGCCAUGUACGUAAUUUUCUCUCGCUUGCUGAAUCUAAAGGUUAUCAUUAAGACAGAUGUCCCCUGAAGAGUGGUUGCCGUGGAGAUCAUUUUACACCGGAGGAACUAUUUGAUUAAAGAGUGGCUAAGACGGAUUUAAAGCAACUGAGAAAGACGUGGCAAAAGCAAAAAGAGAGUGCCCCAAGAAGACAGAAUUUAAGAGAAUUAAGGAUAAGAUGCCCCAUUUCGUCACUCCUACCAUUCAGCAGUAUCUUCAACGCAGAGCUCUGUUUCUUAAUUGAUUCCUUAUCAAGGACUCUCCAGGAGUGAUCGGAUACAAUGUUAAUCAAUCAACUUACUUUCCUCCUGUUGUUCUGCUUGCUGGGCUGGAGUGAUGCACUGAUCCGGCCGGUGCCUGGAAUUAGCACGACGGAUCGGGAUGGACGGACUCUACACCGCACUAAACGAGGAUGGAUGUGGAAUAGUUUCUUUCUCUUAGAGGAGUGGACGGGAACUGGGAAGCAGUAUGUUGGAAAGCUUCACUCAGACAUGGACACAGAAGAUGGAUCUGUGAAAUACGUCCUC